rnacentral:misc_RNA from 1 species
GAUGAAGAACGUAGCGAAAUGCGAUAAGUAAUGUGAAUUGCAGAAUUCAGUGAAUCAUCGAAUCUUUGAACGCACAUUGCGCCCGCCAGUAUUCUGGCGGGCAUGCCUGUUCGAGCGUCAUUACAACCCUCAGGCCCCCGGGCCUGGCGUUGGGGAUCGCCGGAAGCCCCCUGCGGGCACAACGCCGUCCCCCAAAUACAGUGGCGGUCCCGCCGCAGCUUCCAUUGCGUAGUAGCUAACACCUCGCAACUGGAGAGCGGCGCGGCCACGCCGUAAAACACCCAACUUCCGAAUGUUGACCUCGAAUCAGGUAGGAAUACCCGCUGAACUUAAGCAUAUCAAUAAGCGGAGGA